rnacentral:misc_RNA from 1 species
UUGGAUUAGUCAGAAAGCAUUUUUGUACCAUUUACACUAGACGUAGUUCAACUGGAAAUAUUUAGAAACAAAUUUUCUAAUACUGUUUUUUUUUUCCUCAUUUUGAUCAUAAAAAUCGUUUACAAAACAGCGUUGAUUUCCGAAACUUUAGCUAUGAGUUCGCCGCCUUCUGUUCGUGGUAAUAAAGCUUUCUGGCUAAGGUCAGGUGGAAAGGUGGAAAAGCCAGCCCCAGCCAAAGCUACAUGGGCUCGCACUUCUCCAUGUGGCGGUGUCUUCUCUACUCCUCCCGUCGACAACUGCGACGAGAGCCCAAACAAAAGUAGGCUCAGUCGCAUUCCAACUAGGCGUGGAGCGAGUCCGUCGUCUAUCCAAUUGCGAAAAACUUCUCUGGAGCGGCUUACUUCUUCGCCGAAUAUGCGCCCGUGUAUCAGUACGUAUUCGUUGCCCAAUCGACGGGUCGAGCCCGAGCAUAAUGUGGUUGAGCCCGAUCGGAAAACUGAUAUCGAUGAGUUGAAUCCCCCCAAGCGGAAAGUGGUUCCAGCAAGGACCCGUGUCCACACGACGCCAGUCGAACCUAAUCAAAUCGGCAAGAAGACUGAAAAGGGGUCGCAUCUCCGUGUCCUGGAGUUGAACCGGAUGCGGGUCUUUGAAACGCAGAAGAAAAAACUGGAGAACUUGCAGUCCGAGUUUAUGCACAAGAUCCGUUUAAUGGGUUCAGAUCUCCGGAAUCAAGGGGUCUUCAAGUUUGUGGGUAUGACUGUAAACGAUGAAUGCAAGCUCGUGGUCCACCAAGAUGAUCUACUUCGAUUGCCCAAGAUUAUUCCCUCUGAGAGUAUAAAUGACUUGAAAACCAGGUGUCGUGCGAUUGUAGAGCAGGGGGUUAUGUUGGUCUACGACCAUAUACCAAGAAUUCAGAGGGCUCAAAAUGAUCUCGAGGCCAGCGAAAAGCGUGAGGAAACUCAAUCAAAGUUGUCUAAGCUAGUGGAAGAAAAAAUGACUUUGCUCGUCGAGGAGAUCGAGAAGUUGUGCGGUGCAGGCUCCAAACACGAAUCACCCAACAAAAGUCUUUACCGCGAGAUAGGAGAGCUGCGAUCCCAGAAGCAGGCCAUGGAGGUUCGUUACUUUGACGCCCAGAAGGAGCACACUGAACAGAUCAACCAGUUGCGAGCUGAUCUCGACGCCAAGCUGAAACAGGAGCUGGCCAGUCGAGAUCAGAUCAUUGUGGAGCUGAGAAAGAGCCUGCGGCGAAGCGAGGAUAUGCUCAAUGAUCAGUCCAUUCGAUUGGCCGAGAACAAUUCCAAGCUGUUGACAGAGGAUUCCACCAUCGAGGUACUGCGCUCCGAGGUAGCCAGGCUCAUGGCUGUAAAAGAGCAGAUGGUUCAGCGUCUCGAAUCGGCGGACGUGGGUCUGGAGCGGGCCCGAAAUUCCGUCGAUAAGAACAUGAAACAGAUCGACUACCUGGAGUGCGAACUGAAGGAGGCCCGUGAGCUCAUCGUCCAUCUGCAGAAGCGUCCGGAUGCCAUGGACGCGGGCGUGAAAGAGAAGGAUUUGAUCAUUGCCGAUUUAAAACUGCAGCUGCAAGGACUCGAGCAGCACAAGAAGGUCAUGAACAAACAGGUGGCCAAUACCAUAAAGCAGCAUGCCGACUUUGAAGAGCUGGGUAAACACUAUAAGGAGGCUCUACAGCAGAUAAGCGAUCUAAAGGAGACCCUAAAUGGUACCAAUGCCAAACUGGAUAUGCAAUCCAAGCUCGAAGUGCAGCUCCGCAAGGAAGUGUCCAAGAUGCGAGAGCAAUCGGUGAUCGAUCAGAAGUUGCUGCGCGCUCGCAGCGAAUUGAUAGCGACACUGCAGAAGAAUGGCCAGGAUAGCAGCACCAAGCUAGACCAAAUGUACUAUCAAGUUAGCGAGAAAGACACACUUAUCAAUCAGGUAAACAACCAGCUGAUGUCGAAGGAGGAGGAGUUCCAGAAUCUCUACGGGACCCUUACGCACAAACAAAUUGAAGUUAGGAGGCAGGAGCAUAUCAUCAAGUUGCUAAAGGAGCAGAAUUCACGGGUAUCAUUGUUGCGAGCCAAUCAGGACGAGCGGAAUGCCACGAUGGAGGAGGAAAUCAUUAAUCUUAAGAACACAAUAUUUUCAAUUGCAUUCGGGCCAUAUACCGUGGAAUGAGGUUAACGUCAAUUAAAGUACCAAUUUCAACUGGACCAGUUUCCAAAAUAUUUGACCGUGAUUAUGCCAAACUAAUAGUUUGCAAUAUUGGUCAACAUUUUUUUGAAGUUGUGCCGGCUGGCGAAGGCAUUAGGAGCUGUGGCCACCG